rnacentral:rRNA from 1 species
GCUAGGAUGAACGCUAGCUACAGGCUUAACACAUGCAAGUCGAGGGGCAGCAUUGGGAUAGCUUGCUAUUCAGAUGGCGACCGGCGCACGGGUGAGUAACGCGUAUCCAACCUUCCUGCCAGUAGGGAACAGCCCGGCGAAAGUCGGAUUAAUGCCCUAUGUUCUUCAAUGCGGACAUCUAAGUUGAAGGAAAGAUUCAUCGCUGGCAGAUGGGGAUGCGUCCGAUUAGCUUGCCGGCGGGGUAACGGCCCACCGGGGCGACGAUCGGUAGGGGUUCUGAGAGGAAGGUCCCCCACACUGGUACUGAGACACGGACCAGACUCCUACGGGAGGCAGCAGUGAGGAAUAUUGGUCAAUGGGCGUAAGCCUGAACCAGCCAAGUAGCGUGCAAGGAUGACGGCCCUACGGGUUGUAAACUGCUUUUAUGCGGGGAUAAAGUGCGGCACGUGUGCCGCUUUGCAGGUACCGCAUGAAUAAGGACCGGCUAAUUCCGUGCCAGCCGCCGC